rnacentral:rRNA from 1 species
AGAGUUUGAUCCUGGCUCAGGAUGAACGCUGGCGGCGUGCUUAACACAUGCAAGUCGAACGAACCUUCGGGUUAGUGGCGGACGGGUGAGUAACGCGUGAGAAUCUGCCCUCAGGAGGGGGAUAACGGCUGGGAACGGCCGCUAAUACCCCAUAUGCCGAGAGGUGAAAUGAAUUUCGCCUGAGGAUGAGCUCGCGUCUGAUUAGCUAGUUGGUGUGGUAAUGGCUCACCAAGGCUUCGAUCAGUAGCUGGUCUGAGAGGAUGAUCAGCCACACUGGGACUGAGACACGGCCCAGACUCCUACGGGAGGCAGCAGUGGGGAAUUUUCCGCAAUGGGCGCAAGCCUGACGGAGCAACGCCGCGUGAGGGAUGAAGGCCUCUGGGCUGUAAACCUCUUUUAUCAAGGAAGAAGAUCUGACGGUACUUGAUGAAUAAGCCACGGCUAAUUCCGUGCCAGCAGCCGCGGUAAUACGGGAGUGGCAAGCGUUAUCCGGAAUUAUUGGGCGUAAAGCGUCCGCAGGCGGUCUUGUAAGUCUGUCGUUAAAGCGUGGAGCUUAACUCCAUUUAAGCGAUGGAAACUGUAAGACUAGAGUGUGGUAGGGGCAGAGGGAAUUCCCGGUGUAGCGGUGAAAUGCGUAGAUAUCGGGAAGAACACCAGUGGCGAAGGCGCUCUGCUGGGCCAUAACUGACGCUCAUGGACGAAAGCCAGGGGAGCGAAAGGGAUUAGAUACCCCUGUAGUCCUGGCCGUAAACGAUGAACACUAGGUGUCGGGGGAAUCGACCCCCUCGGUGUCGUAGCCAACGCGUUAAGUGUUCCGCCUGGGGAGUACGCACGCAAGUGUGAAACUCAAAGGAAUUGACGGGGGCCCGCACAAGCGGUGGAGUAUGUGGUUUAAUUCGAUGCAACGCGAAGAACCUUACCAGGGUUUGACAUCCUGCGAAUCUCUUGGAAACGAGAGAGUGCCUUCGGGAACGCAGUGACAGGUGGUGCAUGGCUGUCGUCAGCUCGUGUCGUGAGAUGUUGGGUUAAGUCCCGCAACGAGCGCAACCCACGUCGUUAGUUGCCAGCAUUUAGUUGGGCACUCUAGCGAGACCGCCGGUGAUAAACCGGAGGAAGGUGUGGAUGACGUCAAGUCAUCAUGCCCCUUACAUCCUGGGCUACACACGUACUGCAAUGCUACGGACAAAGGGCAGCAAACUCGCGAGAGCUAGCAAAUCCCAUAAACCGUGGCUCAGUUCAGAUCGUAGGCUGCAACUCGCCUACGUGAAGGAGGAAUCGCUAGUAAUCGCAGGUCAGCAUACUGCGGUGAAUACGUUCCCGGGCCUUGUACACACCGCCCGUCACACCAUGGAAGUUGGCCACCCCCGAAGCCGUUACUCCAACCCUUGUGGAGGAGGAUGUCGAAGGUGGGGCUGAUGACUGGGGUGAAGUCGUAACAAGGUA